CCCGCACAAGCAGCGGAGCGUGUGGUUUAAUUCGAUGCUACACGAAGAACCUUACCAGGGCUUGACAUGCAAGUGGUAGGAACCGAAAGGCGACCGACCUUCGGGGAGCUUGCACAGGUGCUGCAUGGCUGUCGUCAGCUCGUGUCGUGAGAUGUUGGGUUAAGUCCCGCAACGAGCGCAACCCUUGUCACUAGUUGCCAUCAUUUGGUUGGGCACUCUAAUGAGACUGCCGGUGACAAACCGGAGGAAGGUGGGGAUGACGUCAAGUCCUCAUGGCCCUUAUGGGUAGGGCUUCACACGUCAUACAAUGGUCGGUACAGAGGGUUGCCAACCCGCGAGGGGGAGCUAAUCCCACAAAGCCGAUCGUAGUCCGGAUCGCAGUCUGCAACUCGACUGCGUGAAGUCGGAAUCGCUAGUAAUCGUGAAUCAGAAUGUCACGGUGAAUACGUUCCCGGGCCUU
rnacentral:rRNA from 1 species